UAAUGGCUCACCAAGGCGACGAUCCCUAGCUGGUCUGAGAGGAUGAUCAGCCACACUGGAACUGAGACACGGUCCAGACUCCUACGGGAGGCAGCAGUGGGGAAUAUUGCACAAUGGGCGAAAGCCUGAUGCAGCCAUGCCGCGUGUAUGAAGAAGGCCUUCGGGUUGUAAAGUACUUUCAGUUGUGAGGAAGGGGGUGUCGUUAAUAGCGGCAUCUCUUGACGUUAGCAACAGAAGAAGCACCGGCUAACUCCGUGCCAGCAGCCGCGGUAAUACGGAGGGUGCGAGCGUUAAUCGGAAUUACUGGGCGUAAAGCGCAUGCAGGUGGUUCAUUAA
rnacentral:rRNA from 1 species